rnacentral:lncRNA from 1 species
UUUUACCCCUCACAGAUCAGAUAGAGCACUAAUCUCUAGGGCAUAUAAAGAACUGAAAAAGCUAAACACCAAAAAAAAUAUAAUAACCCAAUCAACAAAUGGGUCAAGGACCUGAACAAACACUUCUCAGAAGAGGAUAUACAAUCAAUCAACAAAUAUAUGAAAAAAAUGCUCAUCAUCUCUAGUAAUCAGAGAAAUGCAGAUUAAAACUGCUCUAAGAUAUCAUUUCACUCCAGUCAGAAUGGCAGCUAUUAUGAAGUCAAACAACAAUAAGUGUUGGCGAGAAUGUGGGGAAAAGGUACACUCACUCAUACAUUGCUGGUGGCACUGAAAAUUGGUGCAGCCAAUAUGGAAAGCAGUAUGGAGAUUCCUUGGAAAGCUGGGAAUGGAACCACCAUUUGACCCAGCUAUCCCUCUCCUUGGACUAUACCCAAAGGACUUAAAAACAGCAUACUACAGGGACACAGCCACAUCAAUGUUUAUAGCAGCAUAAUUCACAGUAGCUAAACUGUGGAGCCAACCUAGAUGCCCUUCAGUGGACGAAUGGAUAAAAAAAUGUGGCAUAUAUACACAAUGGAAUUUUACUAAGCAAUAAAAGAGAAUAAAAUCAUGGCAGUGCAGGUAAUGGAUGCAGUUGGAGAAGAUAAUAAGUGAAGUUAGCCAAUCCAAAAAAACAAAUGCCAAAUGUUUUCUCUGAUAUAA